UCCCUACGGGAGGCAGCAGUGGGGAAUAUUGCACAAUGGGGGAAACCCUGAUGCAGCCAUGCCGCGUGUGUGAAGAAGGCCUUCGGGUUGUAAAGCACUUUCAGUAGGGAGGAAGGUAGUGUAGUUAACACCUGCAUUAUUUGACGUUACCUACAGAAGAAGCACCGGCUAACUCCGUGCCAGCAGCCGCGGUAAUACGGGAGGGUGCGAGCGUUAAUCGGAAUUACUGGGCGUAAAAGCGCAUGCAGGCGGCCUGUUAAGUCAGAUGUGAAAGCCCGGGGCUUAACCUCGGAAUUGCAUUUGAAACUGGCAGGCUAGAGUCUUGUAGAGGGGGUAGAAUUUCAGGUGUAGCGGUGAAAAUGCGUAGAGAUCUGAAGGAAUACCAGUGGCGAAGGCGGCCCCCUGGACAAAGACUGACGCUCAGAUGCGAAAGCGUGGGGAGCAAACAGGAUUAGAUACCCUGGUAG
rnacentral:rRNA from 1 species